GUGUAAAGAAAAGAAAAAAACCUGAACGUGAUACUCGUCUCUCCUCAGUCAGAGACGCUGAAAAGUCCGGUUGUGAUCCUUCUCCCUUCAAAAUGGUUCCAGAAUCAAAAACGCUGCUGUUCUUCCCGAUGGUACUCGGGAACACCAUAAAUAUCCAUGUGGAGAUUUUGAGUCGGCUGAGGCAACGUCUACAGCUUCGUGAAGCGUAUGCAGAGAACCACGGUGACGUCAUCAUCGCUUUUGUCCCAGUUGUAUCUCGGGCAGGAACGGACAUUGAAGCUGCUCUUCAGAGGAUCCCGAGAACGGGUCAGCCUGUUGUUCUCAUGGUGCUCCACUUCACAUUUGAUGAGAAUUACAUGGCUCCAAACAGCACCUGGAACCUAGACAGGGAUGAUGUAUUUGCUGUGGAUUUGCUCUGUUAUGAAGACAUUGGACUGCUCAGAUCCCAACGCAAUGAUGAGGCAUUGAAAGCUGUCACCGAUCAUCUGAUCUCUAAAGGAGCUUCACCCAAUACCCAGGAACAAAAACACGCCUUUUCUCAAUCAAUGAAAGUAGGAAAUUCUUGGAUGUCCAAAGUAAGAUUGAGGAACGGUUGAAGAAACGCGUUCAGCUCCAUCAAGUGGAUUCAGAGGAUUAUUGUGAUGUCAUCAUGGCUUUUGUACCCAUUGUGUCCCGGGCUGGAACAGACAUUGAAGCUGCUCUUCGAAAUAUUCCAAGUAAGAGAUUUCCUUCGGUCAAUUAAGACCAUGUCCAAUAUCAUUAACUACUGUUUUAAAUACAGAAGACAAAACAGAACGCCAGCAUACAUUCCCAUAUUUGCCUGACAGACUGUUCUGAGAUAAUAUCUAGAACUGUAGUAUGCAGUUUAGAACGUAGCUUUAACCAGUUCUUUCAAUGUGAAGCGGUUAGUAGUCAAGAAUGCAUAAAAAAAUCAUACCUGUACUAUUUGAUAGUUUUUUGUGCUAAUUUAAAUACCAAGUUAAAUACCAAUAAAUACCAUUAAAUACUAAUACCAUGUUUAUUUUGGAUUUCUGCCACAUUCUACAUUAGUGAUGAAUGAAAGUAAAUGUGCAAUAUCUUCAAUAUUUAAUAUUCAAGAUUCUGCACUAUUUCUAGGGCCCUAUUUAAAUGUAAGCUAACGUAUGAUGUUGACCAUUAUCACGUAAUGGAGGUUUGCAGGUUAACCAGUUUAGUAAAACACAGGCAAACAAAUCCAGGAUUUAUAGGCAGGUUCGGUGUCAGAAACCAGGCGGAGAUCAGGCGAUGAACAAACAGACUGAAAUCGGCUAGGCAGAAACGUAAAUCGAUAAACUAUAACAAAGUCUAAGCACAGGCCAGGUGACGUCAGGUACACAGAGACAAAACGGAGCAUAUACUUCACAUUCAUGUUGUGAAUAAGAGUCUGUUUUAAAGAGCCAGCGAGUGUGUGUGUGGUCGAUUGAACGCAGGUGUGUUCAAACAGAAGCUCGGUGAUUGUGAUCGAGGCAGUGUAUGUGUGCUCUGGGGAGCGUAGUCCGCGGUGGCCAUGUUUUUAGGCCGCGGUGCCUGCUGGGAAGCGGAGCUUGCAGACCGAGAUGACCUGACAACCAUGUUCACUGCUUUGUACAAAAGGUCAGAUUGUCCUCAUGUCUGAUCUCUUCUACUGAAGCGUGUGAUCAGACGACACUCCGAUGGAUUUGAUCUAAAACGGAUCAUGAGGUUUUACACAAACCUGUGGAGUCAACGGCAGCUCAAGUGCACACGGUCACAAGCAAAAACGGGACGUACCAAAUACUAAGAAACUUCAUGUAAAUAUUUCAAAGCUUCUACUUUUCACUCAAAUUGUUGUCGAUAAUCUAAUUUCUAAUAAAAACUGUUGUAUUAAAUUAGAAAGAAUGCACAAUAGAGGCAGACUUUUGGACCCAACUGUAUGUAUUUAAAUAAUCACACUGAUGCAUUAUUCAAAUUAAUUUAAAAUAAAGUCAGAAGAACUGAUCUUUCAUUGUCCAUUAAUGCCAGUUAAAUUCAUUUCAUACCAGCCUCGGGCCUGCCGAGCUUUACCACCUCGGAUCUGGUGUUUACUGAGAAAUAGUGACGUAUUAACACGACACUAUCCUUUCUCUCUCUCAUUCACUCUCUCUCUCUCUCGCUCUCUCCCUCUCUCUCUCUCUCUCUCUCUCUCUCUAUCACUCUCUCUCUCUCUCCCUCUCUCUCUCGCUCUCUCCCUCUCUCUCUAUCACUCUCUCUCUCUCUCUCUCUCUCUCUCUCUCUCUCUCUCAGCAAAUCAGCCUGUCAUCCUCGUGGCGCUCCACCACACGUUUGAUGAAAAUUACAUUGCACCACAGAGCAAAAGGUGUGUGAAUAGGGAUGGUGUAUUUGCUGUAGACUUCCUCUGUCAUGAAGAUAAGGGACUGCUGGAAUGCUUGACCAAUGAGGAGGCACUGAAAUCCGUCAGUGAUUAUCUGGUCUCUAUGGGCCCCAGUACCCCGCUUAUACCAGUUCAUCCACGGUCAUCCCGAAGAUGCUGUAUCUGUUUGGGUGUCUCUGCUUUUGUUGUUGUUGUUGUUAUUGGGCUAGUUAUUCCCUUUCUCAUUCCGAAAAGUGACGGACAUGGUGACACUCAAACUACGGUGAUACCUCCUAUAACUGUAGCUACACAUCAGCAUAACAUAACUGAAACUACACAUCAGUCUAACAUAACUGUAACUACACAGCAGUCUAAGAUAACUGUAGCUACACAGCAGCGUAAGAAACGAUCCCUUCAGAGAGGCCGAGGCUAAUUCAUUAGUUUGGUGAACACCCAAGACUGUUGGGUUCGAGAUGAAAAGAUGGAGAUGAAACGAGAGUUUAGGAUUUCAGCUUUUAUUUCCUGGUGUUUACAUCUAGACGUGUUAAACAUAAAACAUACAACCUUUUGUAUCAGACCACCCACUUUUUAGGUGAGCAAAAGUAUAGGAACAGAUCAGUCUUGAAGUAAAUGAAAGUAAAUAACACUUAACAUUUGGCUGCGUGUCCCUUGCUUGCAAAAACUCAUCAAACUGCAUCAAUCCUGUGACUCACUGACACUUGUGUUGCUUUUCCAGGUAUUUACUGCAGCUUCUUUCAGUAGUUGUGUGUUUCGGUGGUUUCUCCCUUCAGUCUCCUCUUCAGGAGGUGAGGUGCUGAUCAGUUGGGUGAAGGUCUGGUGAUGGACUUGUCCAGUCUAAAACCUUCCACUUUCCCCCUGAUGAAGUCCUGUGUUGAGGUGGAAGUGUGUUUUGGAUCGUUGUCUUGCUGCAUGAUGAAGUUCCUCUGAUUCAUUCGGAUGGAUUUCUCUGUAAAUCUGCAGACAGAAUGUUCCUGUACAGUUCUGAAUUCAUUCUGCUGCUCCAUCAUGAGUUCAUCAAUAAAGAUUAGUGAGAAUGUUCCAAAAGCAGCCGUGCAAGCCCAAGCCAUGACACUACCUCCACCAUGUUCCACAGAUCAGCUUGUAUGUUCUGGAUCAUGAGCAGAUCCUUUCUUUCUCCACACUUUGGUCUUUCCAUCACUUUGGUAGAGGUUCGUCUUGUUCCAGAACUUUUGUGGAUCAUCUCUGUAUUUCUUUGCCAAUUCCAAUUUGACUUUCUGACUCGUACUGCUGAUGACUGGUUUGCAUCUUGUGGUACGGCCUCGAUAUUUCUGCUCUCGAAGACUUCUUCAAACGGUGGCUUGUGAUGCCUUCAAUUCUGCCCUGUGGAGCUUGUUGGUGAUGUCACUGACAGUUGUUGUUGGGUUUUUCUUCACAGCUCUCUGUCAUCACCUGCUGUUGUUUUCCUUGACUGACCCGUUCAGUGUCUGUUUCUCAGUACACCAGCGGUUUCUUUCAUUUUCAUGACAUUCCAAAUUGUUGUAUUGGCUUUACCCAGUGUUUCUGCAAAGGCUUUGAUUGAUUUUCCCUCUUUCCCCGCUUUAAAAUGGCUCGCUUUUCUCCCCUAGACAGCUCUCCGAUCUUCAUGUUGGCUUAUCCUUUAUAACAACAUAUGCAGUCUUCACAGGUGAAACUGAAGAGUAGAUGUUCAGAGCUAUUUAUUGUUUAAACAGUCGAUCUAACAGGACACGCCUGGGGAACAAGAAACACCCGUCAGUCACGUGUUCCAAUGUUUUUGCUCCCUUACAAAUUGGGUGGUCUGAUACAAACUGUGCUGUUCUGUAUCUAUAUAUAAAUACCAGGAAAUAAAAGCUGAAAUUCUAAACUCUCUUCUCAUAUUGCUCUUUUAAUAUCAAAAACAAAUGUCUUCACUCAACAGUGAAAACAAUUUAAUUGGCCUUGCCGUCCCAAUAUUUUUGCAGGGGGACUGUAACUGUGACUAUAUAGCAGCUUAAUAUAAUGGUAAUAAACAUUAACUUAACAUACUGGCGAAUAAACAGCAGCCUAAUAUAACUCUAAUUAUACAGCAGCCUGACAUAGUGGCAACGAAAUAGCAACGUAAUCUAACUAUAACUGCACAACAAACAUAAAAUAAACACUAAUCUUUCUUCUAAAUACUUUUUAAAAUUUCAUCAAUUCUUUUGAAUCAGCUUCAUUUUCAUUACAGUUAGAACUUUUCCUUUCAAACCUUAUGAGUAUUUUGACAUCAAUCAUUCUGCAAUCAUCCUAACAUAUACUUUAUAUACAUAUAAAGGAUUCUUUGAUUAAUAAAGGUUUCAUGUAGAACCUUACAACAGAGAUUUUCUGUUUCUGAGAGGGUUCUAGGUUGAACCACUGUUAGGGUGUAGUAAAUGAAGAAUUGCUUACACAAAACUAGUAUGACUUGAUAUUACCUUGUAAUUGUUCAUAAGUUUAAGAUUACCUCCACUAUAUUUAAUGUUACUCCACUAUAUUUUGUAGUUUCUAUAUUUAAUGCUUAUUAAAUGCACAGAACAUUAAAAUCGGAAACGAAGUCUGACAAGAAUGUAACAGAAUAUAACAAGACUGAAUCUGUGUGUAAAGACUUCAUGAAUGUUUGUUUCUAAUCAAUAAAAUUCUCAUACGCUUAUGCUAAAUGGUAAUGUGAUGUUUGUGAAAACUAAACUAAUACCACAAGACAAAAAACAAAAAAUCGCCACUUGAGUGCUUACAAUUUCCUCGGGGAUGGUGUUCUAGCAUUCAAUAUGGUCUCUACAACCUCACUUGCAAGACCAGAAUCUAUGAGCUGGUGCCCCUCAGGGGCCAGACCCACG
ensembl:lncRNA